rnacentral:rRNA from 1 species
UACGUAGGGGGCAAGCGUUGUCCGGAAUCAUUGGGCGUAAAGCGCGUGUAGGCGGCUCGGUAAGUCUGCUGUGAAAGUCCAGGGCUCAACCCUGGGAUGCCGGUGGAUACUGUCGAGCUCGAGUCCGGAAGAGGCGAGUGGAAUUCCUGGUGUAGCGGUGAAAUGCGCAGAUAUCAGGAGGAACACCAAUGGCGAAGGCAGCUCGCUGGGACGUGACUGACGCUGAGGAGCGAAAGCGUGGGGAGCGAACAGG